UGGCCCAGUGGUUAAAGCAAUUGACUGCUAAUCAGAAGGUUGGUGGUUCAAAACCACU
rnacentral:tRNA from 1 species